rnacentral:lncRNA from 1 species
CGCCACCGGUGUUUCAGGUUCGCUACACGUCCGCGGCAAAUCCGCCCUGCGGACGCGCCACCGGUGUUUCAGGUUCGCUACACGUCCGCGGCAAGUCCGCUCCGCGGAUGCCUCAUUAGCAAACCGUUAUUAUCACUCUGCAAUGCAAAGACGGUUGUCUGCUCACGGUGCUGUGAGCAGAGACCACUUCAUUUGACUGGACAGACUGGAUUCAUCAGGAGGCUGGAGCUGUAAAGAACCAGGAAAACUUCUCAUCAAUCCUGAACUAUGAGCUACUACUUCAGACUGAACCUACACAUCUGCAGUUGCUGUGAAAAGAGGGGUGUUCAUUUUCUGGACACUGAGAGACUGGAUAUUCACCAGGACGAGAGGAACCAGGCUAACUGCUCCUCACUACUGACCCACAGCUUGAUAAUGAACCUAAACAUUGACAGCAUUUCCUUCGGUGGUUUCGUGUUAAAAUGAAAAUGAAGAAGAGGAAAAAGUACUGUAAGUACCUGUAUUGAAGACCUUUACAUAAUGGCAUUAUGAAACCUGACCUUUGCAAAUAAUAUUCUUAUUGUUUAUUUCAGGUGGACCUCUGCUGGGCUGAGUGGCACACAGUGAAGUUGCAGUUAAAUACAGUGUAAGCACAUGGCUCUGUAGAAUCAUAUCUAACAAUCAGUCUCAUCCAUGUUUACGUUUUUUGCUCGCUGGUGUCAUUUCAGAUCCUGUCAGAGCCGAGGGGACUAUAUUUGACUGGACACAGACUGUAUCUCCACCAGGUGGAUGUAGCCGCAGAAGAGGAACCAGGCGAACUACUUCUACCCCUAUCUACUGCUUCAGACUGACCAUACACAUCUCAAACUCUGAACACCUAACUACUGUGUAUAAGUACAACAUUCAAUCAUCUAUUUUAUUGUGGUGAACGUUUGGGGGAUUGAUUCUUUGGCCAGGCUAGUACUUUGAGAUAUAUUGGUUUGAAAUGAGGCUGCACUGAAUAAAUCUUUUGUUGGCCACUUGUUUUACUACGUCUUUAUUUUAUUUAUUUUCACUGAGAAGCCAACUGUGACGUAAAUAGUCUUCAAAUUUUGAACCCUUUAGCUGAUCAUUUUGUUAUUAAAAAU